GAAAUAACAAAUUAUAGCUUUGUUUCUACUUGUAUUGCAAUCAUCCGGACUACUGAAAGUUCAGAAAGUGUUUUCUAGAGGCAUUUAAUUAAUAUUGUGUCAGUGUUAGUUUUCACGAGUGAACAUUUUGUUGUACAUUGUACAAAUCAACAUCUUAAAAUGUUGUCUGGUAAAUAUUCAGUAUCAGACAGUAGAUAUUCUAGCAAGAUCUUUGGUAACGAUAAUUAUUUUAACACAUGCAUUUAAAAUGUACAUUGCCAAUAGCCCAAGUGUCUUUAAACUGUAAAACCAACUUCAGAUCUUCUUUGCUGAAGCCCAAGCAGGCUGAGAUCUGUACCCUUUGGGCCCUUUCUCUACCCUUUCAUAGUCCUACCUGGACAGAGAAGUUGGCGAUCUCAUAAUUCAUGUCCUGUUGCCUUAGCUACAUCAGCGUAUAUCUUCACAUCUAUAGGUGGUUAGCAUAUGUGUAAAUACAUGUAUACAGAUGAGAGUCUGCAACAGAAUGUCCCGUGUAUGAUAAGCAGUCCUCAGCUCUUGGUUUUCUGCAUUUUAUAUAGUUUGCAGCUAAGAAAAAUGCAGAAUUCCACUACGUAAAGUGGAAAAAGUUAUGCUCUUUCAAUGGUUUGUCCAGAAAUCUCUGCCGUAAGUUUAUGGGAAUGUCUAUGACUCAAUGUACAUAUGGUGUGUAAGAGGUGAUGCUGUUAAGUGUUGCAUAAACUAAUGCAGAUUCUGUAGUUAUAAAUAAUUGACUUGUUAUUGUAAAAUGUGAUUUGUCAUUGAGAGAUUAUUUUUCUGUAUGUAUAUGAGAGUAUUUUAGGAAUCUAAUUUAAGUGCAUAAAACUAUAGAAAAAGUUAAAAAACCUAUUCCAAGAGUAGAGAGUGCUUAAUCAGAUUACUUGGGUUCGACCCAACUAAAUUUCAUAUAUUAAAAAGAAAACCAGAGUUGCAUAUGUUAGACAUUCAAAGAAGUCAUUUUGGAGGGGCAAAGAAAAUGUGAAGUUGAAUGCAACGGGUGGUGUUAUGAUAAGAUGAUGAGUGUCCUCUAGCCAUGACCUUGGGUGAGACCCCUGUAUUUCAUUAAACAGGUAACUUGUUCGGGAAGGUGCUUGUGUCAGGAAGGAUAGGAGGCUUGAGAGUCUGGUUCCCAUCAGAUCUGAGUGAUGUGCUCUGGAAGCUUCCAUAGGUUCUGGAGGAUGGGCCAGGAAUCUUGGGUGGAGCAAUCGUUCUUCUAGAAAGUUCCGAAUGUCCUGACUUCUGGGUCACCCUUUGCAGUUCUCUUUCUGAAUAGAUUCAAUGCAUCCCUUUGGUGUUUGCAUUUUCCUUUCCUGGAGGCAUCCUCACUAUCCCCACUGUGGCUCUCCUGUGUUGGGUGAAGGAUGAAGUUUGGGGCUUUCUGGGUUAAGCUGUUCCUGGCACACAGGACAGGCAGCACAGAGCAGCCUUCUAGCUGCUUGUGUCCAUGAUGGAGACCUCAAAGCAAGAGGCCUUCCUCUUUGCCCUGUCCCAGAAAAGGGUCAGAGGUCCAGGCUGCUUCUCGGGCACAGACUUUGUAUCCUUUGCCACCGGAAAUGUCCCCACAGGCCACCUAAGGAUGGAUACAACGCAAAAUCCUAUGAAACUCAAGAUGCAAACCCCCGAGAGGUGCGUUUAGAGGUCCUUUCAGGAGGAGGCAACGCUGUCAGGUCAGCCUCCCUCGUCAGGCUGGGAACGAUGGAGCGGUGAAAAAAGCCAUGUUCCUGGUGAGCCACGGGUGUUGCAUACAGAUCGCUGUGUGUGGGACGCUGAGGGCCCUGGCUUGAAAGGACGUAUAGGGAAUGCGUGCCUUAGGUUUUCAACAUUUCUUUCAAUGAGCUGUAUGCUUCCCAAUGCUGUCAACCAACAGUCCAAGUCCUUUUUUGAUACACCUCAAAUUGGCAAAUGCUGGCGUGUAAGUGACCUCCUGGAAUUCAGGGUUCAGGGGGCGCAGGGAGCUGUGAUUUCUGGGAGCUUCGUGGAAUCUGUUAUCAUAGGAGUGAUCUGAAAAUCACCUUGAGGAACUGUCUGGGUGGAUGUGAGUGACUUCUUUUCCAAACAUGGAGCUGUUUAGGGACCUCUUUGUCCAAGGUGGCCUGGGAAGGCCAUCUAAAGCUAGCCAGCAGAAGUGGAUAAGCUCCUAUCGACCCACCCAGAGUAAGUCCUGACCUCCUUCCUUGGCACCAAGUCCUCAUGGCUGGUGUGGCAAGAGGGCUAUACGUGGAGAUGAGUCAGCCAGUCAACCAUCCCUUGGGUCCUGCUUGUUCCAAUAAAGUCUGGGGUCAAGAAAAGCCAGAGAACGUGGCGUCCUGCUCAGCAGUGACCAUUCCAGUUAGCCUUCACCUAUUUAGAAAAGAAUGUAUCGGUCCUGACACGAGUCCCUUGUGUUUCCAGCAGCAGAUGGGUCACAGUGUUGGGGGCAUGUUGCUCCCCUCACAGCCCUGCCCGGGGGGUGGGAUGAGCCACUCCACCUCCCCGACGGACACCCUGUUAACUGUAAUAUACUUCUGUUGCCAAAUAACGGUAUUGUUUAAUUUCCCAUCAAAGGGAGACUAUAUUGUUUGGUGUGUAAUGUCAAUGGAGUUCCAAAAAUUACUAGACACUAUUAUAAAUUGUAGAAUUCUGUAUUUGUUUGAUGAAGCAGGGCCAAGACAUUAGGUUUCUUUUCUGUUUAAAAGAAGCUAAGGUUAGGUUUGCUCUCUGAGCAUUCCUUUGGCACCUUAUUAUGUAAGAAAUGUUAAAUUUGACUGAUCAAGAUUAUGGUAACUGAGUGUUGUUUUCUUUAAACCAGUAGCAACAUCAAUACAGAUGGAUAUUUCUGUGUAUCUGGAAUCUAAAAGAACAAUCUCUUCCAAACAAUUCUUUGGUCAUUUUGACCUGUACGGUUUAAAUUCACAUAGUUCAUGAAUAAAAGGAGAAAAACCAACCUUGUUACAAUGGAUUGCUUUGGGUUCUUUCUGCCCCUCUUCCUUUCUGAGCAGACUGUUUGGUUGUUCAGUUGUUAAGUCGUGUCCAACUCUUGGUGACCCCAU
ensembl:lncRNA